rnacentral:rRNA from 1 species
GACAGAGGUGCCAAGCGUUAGGCGGAAUCACUGGGCGUAAAGGGUGCGUAGGCGGGUCUUUAAGUCAGGGGUGAAAUCCUGGAGCUCAACUCCAGAACUGCCUUUGAUACUGAGGAUCUUGAGUUCGGGAGAGGUGAGUGGAACUGCGAGUGUAGAGGUGAAAUUCGUAGAUAUUCGCAAGAACACCAGUGGCGAAGGCGGCUCACUGGCCCGAUACUGACGCUGAGACACGAAAGCGUGGGGAGCAAACAGG